AUUGAACGCUGGCGGCAUGCCUUACACAUGCAAGUCGAACGGCAGCACGGGAGCAAUCCUGGUGGCGAGUGGCGAACGGGUGAGUAAUAUAUCGGAACGUGCCCAGUUGUGGGGGAUAGCCCGGCGAAAGCCGGAUUAAUACCGCAUACGACCUACGGGUGAAAGCGGGGGAUUCGCAAGGACCUCGCGCGAUUGGAGCGGCCGAUAUCGGAUUAGCUUGUUGGCGGGGAAAAGCCCACCAAGGCGACGAUCUGUAGCUGGUCUGAGAGGACGACCAGCCACACUGGGACUGAGACACGGCCCAGACUCCUACGGGAGGCAGCAGUGGGAAUUUUGGACAAUGGGCGCAAGCCUGAUCCAGCCAUGCCGCGUGU
rnacentral:rRNA from 1 species